rnacentral:lncRNA from 1 species
UCAGCUUGCCGAUUUAUGGAUUUAAUGUUGAGAUUUUGGUUAAUAGUUGGACCAUUUACUGAUAAAUAUUAUGUGUCAUUCCUUUUUCUUAGAUUAGUUAACCUGGAAUUAGAGGAGUUUGUGGUUUAGAAGCUAACCGGAGUGAUGUUUCUUGGACUUGACCAUUGAUGCUUGAUUAUUAUUUUCCUUGGUAUCUUGGCAAUAGGGUAGAUGGAGCAAUAACCAUUUUCAAAUUUUGGUGUUAUUUGUCGUCCCAUGCUUGAGGGCAAGCAUGAUUUAGGUGUGGGGGGAAUUGAUAGGGUGUUAAUUGUUAGUAAUUUUAUUGUUAAUUUUCC